rnacentral:rRNA from 1 species
UACAGAGGGUGCAAGCGUUGUUCGGAUUUACUGGGCGUAAAGGGCGCGUAGGCGGUCAGCACAAGUCAGUUGUGAAAUCUCCGGGCUUAACUCGGAAAGGUCAACUGAUACUGUGCGACUAGAGUGCGGAAGGGGCAACUGGAAUUCUCGGUGUAGCGGUGAAAUGCGUAGAUAUCGGGAGGAACACCUGCGGCGAAGGCGGGUUGCUGGGCCGACACUGACGCUGAUGCGCGAAAGCGUGGGGAGCAAACAGG